UUACAGGCGUCAGCCACCGCGCCCGGCCCCCGGCUCCCUUUGAAGAGGACAGAACCCCACCGCCAGAAAGACUGGAACAGAGAGAGGCUGGCAUUCCCCCACAGUGCUGCAGUGUCCCAAGCACAGACCAAAAAAUCUCCAGAGCCUGGAACAUCUCCCCCGCCACAGACACAUACACAUCUCUUUGAGCCUCCUGUUCUGAUCUGUAAAAUUGGGAUGUCCACAGCAUACGGCUGUGAGGAUAGAGAAGUGCUUGGCACAGCUUCUGGCAUGCCAUCAGUGCCUACUAAGCAGCAGGAGCUGUUCUUUGGGUUUAGAUGAACCCCCUCACACCUUUCCAUCCCUUCCAGUCCUGUUAAUGCUCCCAGGAAGCUCACUGGAAGGAAACUAGGAAGACUCACCCACAUUUUGCUGCGCACAAAUGCACUCUAGAGCACUGAUGAUGUGCUAGGCGCUGUCUAGUGCUCCCCUUAGAUUUCAGACUCACAGCAAGCCUGGAGAUCAGUACUGUGGAUCCCAUUUUAUAGAAGAGAAAACAAGCACAAGUUGUUUUAUGUGGCUCACCCAGCAAGGUAGGUUUCAAGCUGGGCAGGAGGUCUCUGCAUCCCAUGUGGAGGAAAAGGGACUGAGACCCAGUAAAAGUGCCAACAGGUCCACACUGAGCCCUGAGGUAGGACUCCUCCUCAGUGCUUCUUCCAUAAGAGUUGCCUGCCCUCAGCCAAUCAAAGCUUCCCGUUUCCUUGCAGGCCCUGGGCCUAUCCACACCCAGCCCAGGAAGGCUCCACCACAACCCUCCCCUAUGAGCCAGACCUAGUCACCAGAACAGUCAACUCUCUAUCCAGCUCCAGCUACGUCUCCCAAAAUGCAGCCCUCACCUCUAAGUUUAAUGGGGGGAAGGGCAGGCAUGAAACUGCUGGUUACAAUGUAAUGACAAGAGGGUGAGGCAGCAUGACUCUGGGACUCCUAACUCCCAAGUGUUGGGGCUCACAGAUUGCCCACAGGAAGUGACUUUCCAGCAGAGAGCUGGAGGUGGUGCACAGGUAAGGAGAGGAAAGGGCAAGUGGGUGUCUAGGCCCCGAGAUCAGAGGGUAGAGUCCCAAGAGGUCAAGGUGAAGGGUACCACCUUGAGGGAGGCCUCCAGGUGGGGAGUCUCAGAAGUGUGAACCAGGAGAGGUCGGCGGGGACCGGGUUGGCGGGCCAGAGAAGUUUCUGAGCACCUGGAGGACGCGGGGAGGCAAGGGAGGGGUUUAAGCCGGGGAGUGGGCCACGUGAUUGGCUAUGCUCAGGCUGAAGGGGAGGAGGAGGAAGCUGGAAGCCAAGAUGAGGAGGUGGCAGAGAUUCAGGCCAGAGUUGUGGGCCGCCGUCGGCAGCAAGAACAGAGAGAGAGGUGGACAGAUCUGAGAGAUACUGAGAUUAAAAGGAGCCCAAGCCCCAUCUCAUCCUAGCACACCCUCCUCCACUGUCCUGGCAGUAGCAGUCCCUGCACUAGGUCAGACAAUCCCCUUUGGGGUACAGGAAACAAAGCAGGAGGAGUUUGAGGUCCCUACACUGCAGCAGAAGAAGAGGAAGGAGUGGGGCCUGAAUUGACCAUAAAGGAUGUAGGGGCCACGUUGUUCCACUGUAAUGUCAAGGAGGGGGUGGCCAUUGUUUGUCCCAGCCUGGGGCUCCCCCUCUGGUUUCCUAUUUGUAGUUACUAGAAUGAAAAAAAAACAUGAUAGAUAAAUAAAUAAUCCACUGGCAGAGAUCA
rnacentral:lncRNA from 1 species